rnacentral:lncRNA from 1 species
UGAUAAUUUUGAUGAAAUUUCCCAUCUAAAUGAGCUUCAAGUUUAUUUGUCACAGGGACUAGAAACGGAGAAUCCAGACGGCUCUUUCGACCUUUUGGAAUGGUGGAAGAGAAGGGAAAAACAUUUUUUCGUAUCUUGCAAGGAUGGCUCGGGAUGUUCUGUCGAAUCAAGCAUAAACUUUUGCAUCGGAGAGCGCUUUUAGUCAAGCAAGACUACAAAUAGGUGAUUACAGAGCGUCGAUGC